rnacentral:miRNA from 1 species
GCGAGUGGGAAUAUGAAGCGUC